CACGUAGGGCGCAAGCGUUGUCCGGAAUUAUUGGGCGUAAAGAGCUCGUAGGCGGUCUGUUGCGUCUGCUGUGAAAACUCGGGGCUUAACCCCGAGCCUGCAGUGGAUACGGGCAGACUAGAGGUAGGUAGGGGAGAAUGGAAUUCCCGGUGUAGCGGUGAAAUGCGCAGAUAUCAGGAGGAACACCGGUGGCGAAGGCGGCGCCCUGGCCCGAUACUGACGCUGAGGUGCGAAAGCGUGGGGAGCAAACAGG
rnacentral:rRNA from 1 species